GACGAACGCUGGCGGCGUGCCUAACACAUGCAAGUCGAGCGGAAAGGCCCUUCGGGGUACUCGAGCGGCGAACGGGUGAGAAACACGUGAGUAACCUGCCCCAGACUUUGGGAUAACCCUCGGAAACGGGGGCUAAUACCGGAUACGACACAGCUUCGCAUGGGGUCUGUGUGGAAAGUUUUUCGGUUUGGGAUGGGCUCGCGGCCUAUCAGCUUGUUGGUGGGGUGAUGGCCUACCAAGGCGACGACGGGUAGCCGGCCUGAGAGGGCGACCGGCCACACUGGGACUGAGACACGGCCCAGACUCCUACGGGAGGCAGCAGUGGGGAAUAUUGCACAAUGGGCGGAAGCCUGAUGCAGCGACGCCGCGUGAGGGAUGACGGCCUUCGGGUUGUAAACCUCUUUCAGCAGGGACGAAGCGUAAGUGACGGUACCUGCAGAAGAAGCGCCGGCCAACUACGUG
rnacentral:rRNA from 1 species